UUUGUAAAAGUGAAUCGGGGAAAGUUUCUCCGGAAGCUGAAAGAGAGUGUUUCCGGUACGCGUGGCCGCCGCUCCGGUGUCAGCUGUCGAGCGAAACAAGCCAAGAUGAUCUCCCUCACCGACUCCCAGAAAAUUGGAAUAGGGCUAAUGGGAUUUGGUGUAUUUUUCCUGUUUUUUGGGAUGAUCCUGUUUUUUGAUAAAGCUCUCCUUGCCAUAGGAAAUAUCUUUUUUGUUGUCGGGCUGGCAUUUGUGAUUGGGCUGGAGAGGACCUUCAGGUUCUUCUUUCAGAAGCACAAAAUGAAAGCCACAAUCUUCUUUCUAGGAGGUGUCUUCAUAGUGCUGAUUGGGUGGCCCAUCAUCGGAGUGAUUCUAGAGUUUUAUGGCUUCUUUCUGUUAUUCAGGGGAUUCUUUCCAGCGGUCGUAGGCUUUAUCAGGAGGAUUCCUGUGCUGGGAUACUUGCUGAAUCUUCCCUUUAUUAGUGGGCCUUCCUAAGGCUGAGUGGACAGUCAGCUAUCUUGGUCAGUCACUGCUAAUUCUGUGCGCAUUAUGUGGACAAAGUGAGUGAAAGCAACAACAUGGUUUAAAAGACUCCGCUUAUUUAUGAUGUUUUUUCUAAAGCAUUACUAUAAAACAGCCAUGAGAAGUAUAGAGGUCGUAUUACUGAAGCUUUAUAUUCAGACAUGUUUCCAUUGCAAGGAGGUCUGAGUGAUAUUUACAUCAGUGAGAAGCAAACUGUGCAGCGUGGAAGAGAAGCCACUCCUUCGUCAGCCGUUUGCCAAAGCAAAGCCAUCUAUAGAGCUGCGUCACAACAUCCAGCAUCGCUGAAGAACUGUGGCCUGCUUUAUAUAUACGCAAACUUCAUGAAGUUGAAGAAGAGGAUCCUCUCAUCAGGAACGUUUGUUUGAAUGUGUAAAAGCGACUUCUGAAAGUCUAUUCUGUUACAACAUUACCUUUUUACAUGGUUGUGUCUAUAUUUGUAUUUUAAAGCGGGAGGAGAGCUUGAUGACUCUUAAUUUCUGGAUUUUUUUUUUUUAUGACACCUGCUGAAGUGUGAUAUUAACACUUUCUGGUAAAAUUAAACUGUUUUUAAUCAGACUGGCAUAUAGA